rnacentral:rRNA from 1 species
AUUGAACGCUGGCGGCAUGCUUUACACAUGCAAGUCGAACGGUAACAGGGUGGUUGCACCGCUGACGAGUGGCGAACGGGUGAGUAAUGCGUCGGAACGUGCCGAGUAGUGGGGGAUAACGCAGCGAAAGUUGUGCUAAUACCGCAUACGUACUGAGGUAGAAAGUGGGGGACCUUCGGGCCUCACGCUAUUCGAGCGGCCGACGUCUGAUUAGCUAGUAGGUGAGGUAAAGGCUCACCUAGGCGACGAUCAGUAGCGGGUCUGAGAGGAUGAUCCGCCACACUGGGACUGAGCAACGGCCCAGACUCCUGCGGGAGGGAGCAGUGGGGAAUUUUGGACAAUGGGCGAAAGCCUGAUCCAGCCAUGCCGCGUGUCUGAAGAAGGCCUUCGGGUUGUAAAGGACUUUUGUCAGGGAGGAAAUCCCUAGUGCUAAUAACACUGGGGGAUGACAGUACCUGAAGAAUAAGCACCGGCUAACUACGUGCCAGCAGCCGCCGUAA